UACGUAGGGGGCUAGCGUUGUCCGGAAUCAUUGGGCGUAAAGAGCGUGUAGGCGGUUCGGUAAGUCGGCUGUGAAAGUCCAGGGCUCAACCCUGGGAUGCCGGUCGAUACUGCCGGACUAGAGUUCGGAAGAGGCGAGUGGAAUUCCCGGUGUAGCGGUGAAAUGCGCAGAUAUCGGGAGGAACACCUAUGGCGAAGGCAGCUCGCUGGGACGUUACUGACGCUGAGACGCGAAAGCGUGGGGGAGCAAACAGG
rnacentral:rRNA from 1 species